rnacentral:lncRNA from 1 species
CAGAAACAGCUGUCAGAGACAAGAAAGCCCUGGCCUCCUGUUUGGAGCAACAACAGAAGGGAGAAGUAGGACCAGUGUGAGCUGCACAGCCAAGCAUCAUCUGAGGUGGUAGAGCCAUGUCACCAUGGAAGAAGCUCAGUCCAAGAAGGUGGGUGGCACUGAGGAGACUCAGCAUAAGGGUCAACAGGCCUUGGACCCCACUGAUGACAAUUGGGAGCUGCAGAGGAUCAAAAUUGGGGCAGCGAAGGACUUGAUACUAAGAUAUACGAGACCCUACAUGGAUCCCUUUAUUGACGAAUACACCUCAACAAUACUGAGGUCAGGCCAUGAAGAUUGGAGAUCAAUGACAAUAUCAGGUAAGGGGUUUGUUAAGUGGGCACGUAUGAGUCCGGAUUCAGAAGCCAAGGUAAGCUGAGCUGACAGCUGUGGAUGAGACUCCCAGGGCACAUAGAUGGUAGUUCUUCACCAGUGAGCCGCCACCUGUAUGAAGACCUGAAAUAAGAGACUUAAAUGGAAGGGCAGAGCAGCCAUGGUGGAGAGCCAAGAGUUACAAGCUAGAGAUAUUCCCUGUGGGCUCUGCAGUGCUGAAGUUGCAUUUGACACAAGGGGAACCUGGAACCCGUGGGGAUCAGCAGAGAGCCUAGCCCAAGUAGCACCCAGAAUUCAGCUCAAAAUAUGAGUGGGAACUGAGGAUCCCAGGAGCCAUGCAGGUUCUGAAGCUCCAAGAAGAUCUAUUCUCUUGAAGUGGACUCCGAAAAGAAGGUAGGCUCCUGCCUCAGCUUCAGCCAGUUUCUUCUACUGACUUCUCUCACAUUCACUUACACAGGCCACAUCCUUGCCUCGUCCUCUUCUGAAUCAUCAAAGUAGCCACGUCUCUCCUGUGCACAAAGUCUAGACAGAGAGGUUAAUUUGUUCAAGUUCAUAGAACAUAGAGACAUAUGCAGGGCUGGAAUUUAGGACAAUGGGAUCCUGAGAAAUGAUUUCCUCCUCCUUCAUCCUGUUGCUGCUCUGUGAAAAUCCUGUCCUACCUACACCUAACACUUAUCUUUCUCUUCAAAGUCCAUUCUUCCCACCUCACAUUAGGUUGUAGAUGCCUGAGAUCAAGAACAAACUGAACUACAUAAUAAAACCUAUUUAAAUGUAUUAAUCCA